AUGUAAGAUUUGGCUUUAAUUAUUUGCUUCAGGCAGAAAGUUCUCUCUCAUCCUUAAUGUACAGCAGCCGUUCGACAAUCAUCAUUUAGUAAAGAUGGAAGGAAGAAAGGUAAAUUCUGUCUUUUUACUGACGAAUACUGAAGUAUGAGUUACAUGGAAUAAUGAACUGGUCUUAGUG